ACUCAAAUGAAUAGACGGGGGCCCGCACAAGCGGUGGAGCAUGUGGUUUAAUACGUCACAAACCGUAGAACCUUACCAAGGCUUGACAUGGGACGCACCGGGGUGAAAGCCUCGUUCCCGCAAGGGACGUCCACACAGGUGUUGCAUGGCUGUCGUCAGCUCGUGUCGUGAGAUGUUGGGUUAAGUCCCGCAACGAGCGCAACCCUCAUCCCCUGUUGCCAGCGCGUAAAGGCGGGAACUCUGGGGAAACUGCCGGUGCAAGCCGGAGGAAGGUGAGGACGACGUCAAGUCAGCAUGGCCCUUACGCAUUGGGCUACACACAUGCUACAAUGGACGGUAAACAGAGGGAACCGAAGCCGCGAGGUGGGGGAAAUCCCAGAAAUCCGUUCUCAGUUCGGAUUGCAGGCUGCAACUCGCCUGCAUGAAGCCGGAAUCGCUAGUAAACGCAGAUCAGCGAAGCUGCGUUGAAUUCGUUCCCGGGCCUUGUACACACCGCCCGU
rnacentral:rRNA from 1 species